UACGUAGGGACCAAGCGUUGUUCGGAUUUACUGGGCGUAAAGAGCGCGCAGGCGGUCGUUCAAGUCGCGUGUGAAAGCCCCCGGCUCAACUGGGAGGGUGCGGUGGAAACUGUGGGGCUGGAGUGUGGGAGAGGUAGGCGGAAUUCCUGGUGUAGCGGUGAAAUGCGUAGAUAUCAGGAGGAACACCUGCGGUGUAGACGGCUUACUGGACCACUACUGACGCUGAGGCACGAAAGCGUGGGGAGCAAACAGG
rnacentral:rRNA from 1 species